rnacentral:rRNA from 1 species
GACGAACGCUGGCGGCGUGCUUAACACAUGCAAGUCGAACGGAAAGGCCCCUUUGGGGGUACUCGAGUGGCGAACGGGUGCGUAACACGUGAGUAACCUUCCCUUGACUUCGGGAUAACUUCAGGAAACUGGGGCUAAUACCGGAUAGGAAUCCUUGCUGCAUGGUGGGGGUUGGAAAGCUUCGGCGGUUUUGGAUGGACUCGCGGCUUAUCAGCUUGUUGGUGGGGUAGUGGCUUACCAAGGCUUUGACGGGUAGCCGGCCUGAGAGGGCGACCGGCCACAUUGGGACUGAGAUACGGCCCAGACUCCGACGGGAGGCAGCAGUGGGGAAUAUUGCACAAGGGGCGGAAGCCGGAUGCAGCAACGCCGCGGGCGGGAUGACGGCCUUCGGGUUGUAAACCGAUUUCAGCAGGGGCGAAGCUUGUGGUGACGGUACCUGCAGAAGAAGCACCGGCUAACUACGUG